CAACACUGGGACUGAGAACUGCCCAGACUCCUACGGGAGGCUGCAGUCGAGAAUCAUUCGCAAUGGGCGCAAGCCUGACGAUGCGACGCCGCGUGUGUGAUGAAGGCCUUCGGGUUGUAAAGCWCUUUCGCCUAAGAACAAGAGAUGCAGAAKAAUACUCUGCUGAUUUGAGAGUACUAGGUAAAGAAGCACCGGCUAACUCC
rnacentral:rRNA from 1 species